AAAUUAUUUUUUAACACCCACGAUUGGAUUUUCACAACUGCAUCAAUUAAACAGGUUUAACAAUUAUUUUAAUUUUAAUUAUGUAUUUUAGCACCUAAACAUUCAUUUAACUACACCACUACAUCAAUUUAAAAAAUUAACUCCCAUGAUUGAAUCAGUUACUCCACGAUUUUAUAAACAAAAUUCAUAAUUUACACCAUCUAUAAAUAUCACUUCUCUAACC
rnacentral:lncRNA from 1 species